GUCCACGCGGUAAACGAUGGGCACUAGGUGUUCGGGGUAUUGACCCCCUGAGUGCCGCAGCUAACGCAUUAAGUGCCCCGCCUGGGGACUACGGCCGCAAGGUUAAAACUCAAAGGAAUUGACGGGGCCCGCACAAGCGGUGGAGCAUGUGGUUCAAUUCGACGCAACGCGAAGAACCUUACCUGGGCUAGACAACAUCGGACCGCCCCAGAAACGGGGUUUUCCCGCAAGGGACCGGUGGUUCAGGUGCUGCAUGGCUGUCGU
rnacentral:rRNA from 1 species